rnacentral:rRNA from 1 species
CGAACGGGGUGAGGGGGCAACUCCUCAUUCAGUGGCGAACGGGUGAGUAAUGCAUCGGAACGUGUCCCGUAGUGGGGGAUAACGCCGCGAAAGCGGCGCUAAUACCGCAUACGCUCUGUGGAGGGAAGCAGGGGACCCGCGAGGGCCUUGUGCUAGGGGGGCGGCCGAUGUCCGAUUAGCUAGUUGGUGGGGUAAUGGCUUACCAAGGCGACGAUCGGUAGCUGGUCUGAGAGGAUGAUCAGCCACACUGGGACUGAGACACGGCCCAGACUCCUACGGGAGGCAGCAGUGGGGAAUUUUGGACAAUGGGGGCAACCCUGAUCCAGCCAUGCCGCGUGCGGGAAGAAGGCCUUCGGGUUGUAAACCGCUUUUAGCCGGGAAGAAAAGGCAGGGGCCAAUACCCUCUGUUUUUGACGGUACCGGCGGAAUAAGCACCAGCUAACUACGUGCCAGCAGCCGCGGUAAUACGUAGGGUGCGAGCGUUAAUCGGAAUUACUGGGCGUAAAGCGUGCGCAGGCGGUUCGUUGUGUCGGCGGUGAAAGCCCCGGGCUCAACCUGGGAAUGGCCGUUGAAACUGGCGAACUGGAGUGUGGCAGAGGGGGGUGGAAUUCCGCGUGUAGCAGUGAAAUGCGUAGAGAUGC